rnacentral:lncRNA from 1 species
GGAAUACAAAGGACUAGUAGAGAAGAGCUGGACAUGUCAUUUGUGACUCAUUCUUUUAAUUCACCGUGCUAAUCAACUGAACUGCCACAAUCUCCCAAGGUUCAGAGUCCGGCCAUAGAAGAGAUGAUGGAUAGGGCCUUCUUUGGCUUCCAGCUGCUUCUCAGUAGAAAAUGGAAAAGGAACAUAAGCAAAACGCACAACCUUCUCGAUAAAAACACCUACACAAUGGAUUUGUGAAACUCAUUCUGGAAAUGAUAUUUC